GAAUUUUAUACUCACGUUUAUUUAUGUAGUACACGCGUAGGGGAUGAUGGGAAUUGUAGUUCUUCAAACUGCAUUGGGUUAAGGUUAGUAGAAGCGCGUGGAAGUUGAAGUGAAAGUCCGUGUGCGUCUAACCUCACAUUUUCUUGCGUUUUGCGUUUAUGAACCUGAGAACACCUGCUGUAAUGUCCACAUAGAUGUGCGAGAAACCUAUUUUGUGUGAUACAAAGUCCUCGAGCGGGAAUAUGGAUUCUGUACAUUGCUGGAAUGGAGCAAAAGGUGACCAGAUCCCCACUAGGGCUAGACCCAUGUCAGACACCUUAUCCAAACUGGCCCAACUGAUCACUUGCAUCGAGUACAAACCAAAACAACAGCGGUCUUCCUCCAUCUGCAAAGACUGUGGCAACAAAUUCUCUGACCAGAAGAGUCUUGAGCAUCACCAGAAAAGAGAGCACGCCCUGCAGAAGCUCCAUUGCUGUCAACACUGUGGCCAAAAAUUUGCUUUGCUCUCUAGUUUGCAGCUACACAAAUGUUCUCGCACCUCAUCCAUGUGCCAGACAUGCAUGGGGAAAUCUCAGAGGGGUUCUUCUUGCCCUUCCUGCGGGACUGAAUCUUCAGAAGUUCCCUUCUAUCAUGACAAUAGCCCCUAUGCGUGCGCUCCAUGCGGACAAGCCUUCAGCCACAAGCAAGAGCUGCUACUCCACCAGCAGGCUGGAGGCUGUGAGCCCGCCAAGACUCUCAAACCUCCUCCACCUUCAGAUGUCUCCUCGCCUCCGUCUCCUCCAAGCGCCAACUCAUCUCUUACCACAUGCACUUUGUGUCACAGAAAGUUCCAUUCUUCUGCUGGACUUGGUUGCCACAUGCGCUUUUCCCAUGCGCACAUGAAAAGCAGCACAGAGAAGAAAAGAGUUGUCAUUGUAAGUACAUUGAAGAAGAAGAAGAAGAAAGUUCUCAUCUCAAGUUCGUCGUUUCCAUGCCGUUCCUGUGACGAAUCAUUUCCUAAGAUAUCACUCCUCCAUCAGCACAGGAAAGAGGAACACCGGCGGGAGAUAAAGGUGAGGAAACUGCAGCGAACCUCUUUGAAGACCACCAGGCGAAGGCGAAAAGGUGAAACAUAUCCAUGCCUCCAUUGCGGAAAAGAGUUCCUGCACCAUCUGACGCGUCUGGCGCAUUUUAGACACUACAGCUCUCACCAUGAGACCCACCUCAAAUUGAGUGGCAAAUCAUCCGGCGCUGACGCAGCUGGGUUCCGCCCAAAGGCAGCUAAGCAGCUCAGACCUUCCCAAGAAAAAAGACCAAGAGGUAGACCUAGGACCAAAAAUCUACCUGUUUUGAUGGAAACCAAGCACAAGGAAGAAGAGCAAAUGGAUAAGCAGGAUGAUAGUGAUGAAGACGAGGAUGCCGAGUAUCCUUGUACGUCAUGCGACCAGGUCUUUAGCUCCAAAGCUAAGCUGCAUGUCCAUGAGAAAGUCCAUGAGGAAUUCCCUGAGGAAGUCCCUGAGGAACACACUCAACCAGCCGACACAUGCAGGUGCUGUAGUGUGUGUACAGGUGGGAUUCCCCUCGCUGAGAUUCCAGAAGAUUGUGAAAAGAAAGUCUAUCACUGUGUGCCAUGUGCCGAGGCGUUCAUAGCUCUGAACACUUUUCUAGAGCACUGCCAGACACAUCUGAUACGUGAAAAUGAAGAUGAAUUCAGUGAGGAUUGAAAGAGCUUCCAUUUUUUUAAGGAAUUGUUCACUAAAAAAAAAAAAAAAAUCUAAUUUUCUCACCAUCAUAUUCUAAUCAUGUUAACUGUUAUUAUUUUUUCUUACAGAACAUACUUUUUUUUUUUUAAAGAACCAUUGCAUUUAGACAAAAAGCACCUUAAAAGUGCUUCUAAAAUGAAUAUU
ensembl:lncRNA zinc finger protein 271-like